UACGUAGGGGGCGAGCGUUGUCCGGAUUUAUUGGGCGUAAAGAGCGUGUAGGCGGCUAGGUAGGUCCGUUGUGAAAACUCGAGCUCAACCUCGAGACGCCGGUGGAAACCAUCUAGCUAGAGUCCGGAAGAGGAGAGUGGAAUUCCUGGUGUAGCGGUGAAAUGACGCAGAUAUCAGGAAGAACACCCGUGGCGAAGGCGGCUCUCUGGGACGUGACUGACGCUGAGACGCGAAAGCGUGGGGAGCGAACAGG
rnacentral:rRNA from 1 species